UCGGAUUAAUACCCCAUAACAUCAUGAGAAGGCAUCUUUUUAUGAUUAAAGCUCCGGCGGUUAAAGAUGGGCAUGCGUGCCAUUAGCUUGUUGGUGAGGUAACGGCUCACCAAGGCUACGAUGGUUAGGGGGUCUGAGAGGAUGAUCCCCCACACUGGUACUGAGACACGGACCAGACUCCUACGGGAGGCAGCAGUGAGGAAUAUUGGGCAAUGGGCGCAAGCCUGACCCAGCCAUGCCGCGUGAAGGAUGAAUGCCCUAUGGGUUGUAAACUUCUUUUGUACGGGACGAAACUCCUGGUCGUGACCGGGAUUGACUGUACCGUGCGAAUAAGCAUCGGCUAACUCCGUGCCAGCAGCCGCGGUAAUACGGAGGAUGCAAGCGUUAUCCGGAUUCAUUGGGUUUAAAGGGUGCGUAGACGGAAUAAUAAGUCAGUGGUGAAAGCCUGCGGCUUAACCGUAGAAAUGCCAUUGAUACUGUUAUUCUUGAGUAUAGUUGAGGUGGGCGGAAUGUGUAAUGUAGCGGUGAAAUGCUUAGAUAUUACACAGAACACCAAUUGCGAAGGCAGCUCACUAAGCUGUUACUGACGCUGAGGCACGAAAGCGUGGGGAGCAAACAGGAUUAGAUACCCUGGUAGUCCACGCCGUAAACGAUGAUCACUCGUUGUUGGCGAUACACCGUCAGCGACUGAGCGAAAGCAAUAAGUGAUCCACCUGGGGAGUACGGCGGCAACGCUGAAACUCAAAGGAAUUGACGG
rnacentral:rRNA from 1 species